ACAUGCAAGUCGUACGCACUGGCCCAACUGAUUGAUGGUGCUUGCACCUGAUUGACGAUGGAUCACCAGUGAGUGGCGGACGGGUGAGUAACACGUAGGCAACCUGCCUCGGAGCGGGGGAUAACAUUUGGAAACAGAUGCUAAUACCGCAUAACAACAAAAGCCACAUGGCUUUUGUUUGAAAGAUGGCUUUGGCUAUCACUCUGGGAUGGACCUGCGGUGCAUUAGCUAGUUGGUAAGGUAACGGCUUACCAAGGCAAUGAUGCAUAGCCGAGUUGAGAGACUGAUCGGCCACAAUGGAACUGAGACACGGUCCAUACUCCUACGGGAGGCAGCAGUAGGGAAUCUUCCACAAUGGGCGCAAGCCUGAUGGAGCAACACCGCGUGAGUGAAGAAGGGUUUCGGCUCGUAAAGCUCUGUUGUUGGAGAAGAACGUGCGUGAGAGUAACUGUUCACGCAGUGACGGUAUCCAACCAGAAAGUCACGGCUAACUACGUGCCAGCAGCCGCGGUAAUACGUAGGUGGCAAGCGUUAUCCGGAUUUAUUGGGCGUAAAGCGAGCGCAGGCGGUUGCUUAGGUCUGAUGUGAAAGCCUUCGGCUUAACCGAAGAAGUGCAUCGGAAACCGGGCGACUUGAGUGCAGAAGAGGACAGUGGAACUCCAUGUGUAGCGGUGGAAUGCGUAGAUAUAUGGAAGAACACCAGUGGCGAAGGCGGCUGUCUGGUCUGCAACUGACGCUGAGGCUCGAAAGCAUGGGUAGCGAACAGGAUUAGAUACCCUGGUAGUCCAUACCGUAAACGAUGAGUGCUAGGUGUUGGAGGGUUUCCGCCCUUCAGUGCCGGAGCUAACGCAUUAAGCACUCCGCCUGGGGAGUACGACCGCAAGGUUGAAACUCAAAGGAAUUGACGGGGGCCCGCACAAGCGGUGGAGCAUGUGGUUUAAUUCGAAGCUACGCGAAGAACCUUACCAGGUCUUGACAUCUUGCGCUAACCUUAGAGAUAAGGCGUUCCCUUUGGGGACGCAAUGACAGGUGGUGCAUGGUCGUCGUCAGCUCGUGUCGUGAGAUGUUGGGUUAAGUCCCGCAACGAGCGCAACCCUUGUUACUAGUUGCCAGCAUUAAGUUGGGCACUCUAGUGAGACUGCCGGUGACAAACCGGAGGAAGGUGGGGACGACGUCAGAUCAUCAUGCCCCUUAUGACCUGGGCUACACACGUGCUACAAUGGACGGUACAACGAGUCGCAAGCUCGCGAGAGUAAGCUAAUCUCUUAAAGCCGUUCUCAGUUCGGACUGUAGGCUGCAACUCGCCUACACGAAGUCGGAAUCGCUAGUAAUCGCGGAUCAGCAUGCCGCGGUGAAUGCGUUCCCGGGCCUUGCACACACCGCCCGUCA
rnacentral:rRNA from 1 species